CGUUUGGAGAGUUUGAUCCUGGCUCAGAGCGAACGCUGGCGGCAGGCUUACCACAUGCAAGUCGAGCGGGCGUACCAAUACGUCAGCGGCAGACGGGUGAGUAACGCGUGGGAACGUACCUUUUGGUUCGGAACAACACAGGGAAACUUGUGCUAUAACCGGAUAAGCCCUUACGGGGAAAGAUUUAUCGCCGAAAGAUCGGCCCGCGUCUGUUUAGCUAGUUGGUACGGUAACGGCCUACCAAGGCGACGAUCAGUAGCUGGUCUGAGAGGAUGCUCAGCCACAUUGGGACUGAGACACGGCCCAAACUCCUACGGGAGGCAGCAGUGGGGAAUAUUGGACAAUGGGGGCAACCCUGAUCCAGCCAUGCCGCGUGAGUGCUGCAGGCCCUGGGGUUGUAAAGCUCUUUUGUGCGGGAAGAUAAUGACGGUACCGCUGGAGGAGAAUCCCCCAGUUA
rnacentral:rRNA from 1 species